UACGUAGGGCGCAAGCGUUAUCCGGAAUCAUUGGGCGUAAAGGGUGUGUAGGCGGUUGUGUUAGUCUUUUGUUAAAUUCUUCGGCUUAACCGGGGACAUGCGAGGGAAACGGCACAACUAGAGGAUGCGAGAGGUGAAUGGAACUCAUGGAGUAGGGGUGAAAUCCGUUGAUAUCAUGGGGAACACCAAAAGCGAAGGCAAUUCACUGGCGCACUCCUGACGCUGAGACACGAAAGCGUAGGUAGCGAAUGGG
rnacentral:misc_RNA from 1 species